GUGGAAGAGGAAAGGUAGAGUGAAAGACUUAAAGGAGUGGAAAGGUGAAAGAGCAGGGUGCUACGGUGCGGUGGGGCAGCUGUCUCUAUAGAAGCACUCUCUUGUUCCCACCCGUAUAAGGUCUCAGUUCCUGGCAAGGCUGUUUGGUUGGCGUGGGCGGAGGGAUCGGGUAACCAGGUGAGCAGAUCAACAGGACACCACAGCAGCACAACAGGACACCACAGCAGCUCAACAGUUGACCACAGCAGCACAACAGGAUACCACAGCAGCUGAACAGGAGACCACAGCAGCUGAACAGGAGACCACAGCAGCUGAACAGGACACCACAGCAGAUCAACAGGAGACCACAGCAGCUCAACAGGAGACCACAGCAGCUCAAUGGGUGUCGUGGAAUUAUUGUAAUCAGAAGGAGAGACUUUUACAUUUCCUCAAAACAAGUAACUUUAUUAUGUAAUUACUGCAGUAAUGGAGCUGGUUGGUAACCACCCCUGGAGACCACAGCAGUAAACACAAGAAGCAGAGAGCUGCAGCUCAGACAGUAAUGGAGCUGGUUGGUAACCACCCCUGGAGGAGACUACAGCAGGUCGACAGGAGACCACAGCAGCUGAACAGGAAGCUACACAGCAGAUCAACAGGAAGCUACACAGCAGAUCAACAGACCACAGCAGCUCAACAGGAAGCUACACAGCAGGUCAACAGGAAGCUACACAGUAGAACAACCUGCAGCUACACAGCAGCUCAACAGGAGACCACAGCAGCUCAACAGGAGACCACAGCAGCUCAACAGGAAGCUACACAGCAGAUCAACAGGAAGCUACACAGCAGAUCAACAGGACACCACAGCAGCUCAACAGGAGACCACAGCAGCUCAACAGGAAGCUACUAAGCAGCUCAACAGGAGACCACAGCUGCUCAACUGGAGACCACAGAAUCUCAACAGGAGACCACAGCAGAACCAGGGGGUUCUGGCGAUCAACAUGGCUCCACCAAAUACUCCACCAGCGUGUCUAAAUGUGUGUGCCUGUGUAUGCAUGUGCCUGUGUGUGUCUGAGUCAGUCUGUGUGUGUGUGUGUGUGUGUGUGUGCCUGUGUGUGUGUGCCUGUCUAUUGCUGUGGUGGGGGAGUAGGAUAACGUGCUGUGUCAACACACACACACACACGCACACCAACCAGACAGCCGGGGUAGAAGAAUAAACACAGACACACCCUCAGGAAAACCGCCCCCUCACAUCCUCAUCCUCCUCCCAGAUCGUGUGUCACGCUCCCCGUUCGUUGCCCUGGGUGAGGACAGAAUAACUAACAGACCAAGGGUUUUGUUGUAGCUAAGACUAGCUACUGUGAAAUGUGUUUUGAUAGGGCCUGUGGGCAAUCUGGGCAUCUACAGUGAAACGUAGCCGUGGGUGGGGGAGGCAUUGGAAUAACAUUGUUACUGCUGUCCGGUAACACUGGGCGUGCAUCCCAAAUGGCUCUCUAUUCCCAUUUAUACUGCAUUACUUCGGGCUUUGGUCAAAAGUAGUGCACUUGAUAGGAAGUAGGGUGCUAUUUGGGGCGUAACACUGGAUUAGGAUACCGUUAAGAAGAAGGAAAGGUUAUGCUGCUGCUACUGUUUAUUUUGGUGAAAGGAGAAGUCUGAGGGGAAUAUGAGAAAGCAGGCAGAAAGGGUGUAUUCUGUAGUACAUGUGAAAACUACUAUAAAUCUUUCCUGCACCACUAUAUCAAAACAUGCCAUCAAAUGUACUUUCUGUCUCUUUAGUUUUUCCACUGCGUCUCUUUAAUUUCGAUGUAGACAUACAUCAUGAAGUCACAUGCUCUUUAUCCUCAAGUAGAAGUGCGG